UUUAGCCAAAGCAGUACUCCUUGGACCCAAGGACAUCUGGACACCAGCCAUUCCUGUUGGGUUCUUACUGCCUGAACACCAAGACCUUCAUCAGCCCUGUGAAGACCCGGGAGAGGCCUCAGCCAUGAAGAUCCUGUACCUGCUCUUCUCCAUCUUCUUCCUGUUGAUCCAGGGUUCUGCAGUGUUCUCCAUGGAACCACAAAAGUUGGGGUGCAGACAAAGGGGGGGAUACUGCACUAGUGCAUACUGCCGCCGUACUUCAAGAAUUUAUGCAACUUGUCCAAGAUUGCUACAUUGCUGCAAAAGAAUCUGAGGUUGAGACCCUGAACUCUGUCAGCAGGACGUCCCCCUUUCUUCUGGCUUCUGGAACCAUCUCGUGAUGUCCUCUCCUCCUUCUGCCUCUGCCAUCCCCAGGUGAUGUGACAGCACUGCUGGGUGCCCGGCUGCUCGUGGGUGAGAGACAUCCCAGAGCUGGUGUCAUUGGGGCAGAGGCUUCUUUUCCUGGCUUGAAUAAA